rnacentral:lncRNA from 1 species
UUUUAUGUAUUAUGCCCCUUUGAACCUGAAAACACAUGAAAGUAGCUCAAAAGACUACUUUAACGAAGAAAACAUAACGAAAAUGCAUAAGAACUAGCUAACUAAGGCGCAUAAAUAUGCUCCUAUCAGCCGACAUCAAAGGAAUUAGCCCUACUACAUGCAUGCAUCGCAUACUUCUAGAGGAGGGGUCCAAAACAUCCCGAGAGGCUCAACGCCGUCUCAACCCUCCAAUGAUGGAAGUUGUGAAGAAUGAGGUAAUCAAGCUGUUGGAUUGUGGCGUAAUCUAUCCAAUCUCGGAUAGCAAGUGGGCUCACCCGUUCAAUGUGUUCCGAAGAAAUCUGGAGUGACUGUGGUUGCAAAUGCCGAGAAUGAACUUGUUCCUCAACGCAUUCAAACCGGUUGGAGGGUGUGCAUCGAUUAUAGGAAGCUAAACGCCGCAACAAGGAAGGACCACUUCCCAUUGCCGUUCAUCGACCAAAUGCUUGAGAGAUUAGCCGGGUAUGCUUUCUAUUGUUUUCUUGAUGGUUAUUCUGGUUAUAAUCAAAUUGUCAUAGCACCCGAAGAUCAAGAAAAAACCACUUUUACAUGCCCCUUCAGUACUUUUGCAUAUCGUCGCAUGCCUUUUGGUUUAUGUAAUGCACCGGCUACAUUUCAAAGAUGUAUGAUGAGCAUAUUUUCUGAUUAUGUUGAGAAAAUCAUUGAAGUGUUUAUGGAUGAUUUUAGUGUAUUUGGUGAUUCUUUUGAUGGUUGCUUGCAUACUCUUAGUUUAAUCUUAAAACGUUGCGUUGAAACUAACCUUGUUCUUAAUUGGGAAAAAUGCCAUUUCAUGGUUAAACAAGGCAUAGUUUUAGGUCAUAUAGUCUCUGAAAACGGUAUUGAGGUUGAUAAGUCAAAAAUAGAUCUUGUACGUCACUUACCCUCUCCAACUUCGGUUAGAGAGGUUCGUUCUUUUCUGGGUCAUGCAGGUUUCUAUCGUAGGUUUAUCAAGGAUUUCUCGAAGGUUGCACAACCUCUUUGCCGUCUCCUACAAAAAGACGUGGCGUUUGAAUUCACCAAGGAGUGCACGGCAUCAUUCAACCAACUCAAGGAGUUGUUGACCACGGCACCUAUCAUUGUGCCACCGUGAUAGGAGCAUAUUUAUACGCCUUAGUUUAGCUUGUUCUUGUGCAUUUAUAGUGUUUUUCCUUAGUAAAGUAGUCUUUUAAGCUAGUUUUAUGUGUUUUCAGGUUUUAAAGGCAUAUUACAUAAAAAGAAGCAAUUUGGAGCCUUUUGGAGCAAAAUGGAGCUUGGAUUGGAUAUCACAUAUUUGGAGCCAAGGGUUUGGAUGAAAAUGAAGAUUUGAAGAUGAUGAUUCCUACUUGAGCAAGGAUUCCUUGUUGAAGUAGGAAAGAGCCAAAUUGAAGAUGAAAUCCUAGUCCAAGAAGGAGUCCUAAUCAAUCAAGGAUUCCUAAUUGAAGGUGGAUUCCUAGACGAAUGAAGUUUCCUACUCAAACAAGGUUUCCUACUUGGAGUAGGAAAGUGAUCCCUAAUUGGCUUUGAUUUUAAGCAACAAAGAAGUUUUCCAAGUCUAAGAAGGAAAAGGAAUCCAAAAUGAAGAAGGAAUGACAAAGACAAGGUUUCCUAAUCCUAAUAGGCAAAGUUUCCAAGUGCAAUGAGGAGUCUUUAUCCAUUUAGGAUACCUUAUCCUUGUUCUAGAAGCCCUAUCCUUUAUCCUACAAACUUGCCGUGCCUUUCCCUCUAGAAGGCCUAAUUUCCCUUGCCUUGCAAGGCUUUCUAGAAGCCUUAUCUAGUCUUAUCCCUUCCUGCCGCACCUAGGACUCCUUUUCCCUUGCAAAAUCUGAUUGUUUAACCUAUUUCCUGAUGGAUUUGGCUUUCUAGAAGGCCUAAUCUGAUUCACCUAGGGUUUUAGGGCCCUAUAAAUAUGUGUGCCGCACCCCUUCACAUUCACCACCUCUCACAAUUCAUCAUUCACGCCAGAAACAUACACUCACCUUUUGCCGCACCCUUGCACCACCAUAUUCCAUAAUUUCUGCCCAAAACCAUCCUAGCCGCACCACCCAUCAACCCUAGACACCACCACACAUCCCCCAUCCAUUCUACAUCACAAAUAACCCCAAAAACCUGUCCACAAGUUCUCUACGCAGCAAGGAGGAAGGAGGAUUCUUGGAUGCACUUGCUGUCAAGUUGGAGCAUUCUAGGUGUUUUCUUUCUUUGGAUUUUAAUGUUUAACUUAUUUAUCUUUGUUUUGUACGCAUGAGGAACUAAACCCCCCCUUGGCUAGGGGGGGAUUCAAAACCAUGUUUAUGCUUGCUAUAUGAUUUGAUUACUUCUAAUUGCGUUUCAUAAGUUGUGAAUUCAAUUUGCUUAUCUAUAAGAAUUAAAACUGAUUUGUGUAUGUUAGUUGAGGGUCGACACUUAAUUUGCAUGCAUGAAUUUGAUGCUAGAGUAAAAGGGAAUUUCACCUAAUCGUUAUGAACUUAUAUUCACAAGUAGUAAAGGUUGAUGAUCUCAAUCGCGUUAAGUAAAUUCUUGGCAUAAGUUUCAUGCAAUCAUAGUAACAAGUGCUUCGUCAAUGCUUAUGAUUUUCAUAGAACUUAAUGAUUCUUGCUUGUAUCUCUAUUAUGCAAUCAUGUAGGGGACUUGUGGGGAAUGCUUUGGGUUGUCGUAUGUAAUCAUCCAAUUCAAUAACAUUAGGAAAAUCUGAAGGUUAAUUUAAGCGGACCUAAUUAACUUGGGGCGUUGGGAAUUCAUGGUUUAUUGAAAAGCAAUUGGAAAUCGUUUUAUAUGCAAGUGUGACAUGUGUGGAGAUGAACCCAUUAGCUAGCCUUCCAUCAUCCAUUUAAACCAAAUUCGUUUUAGAGUCUUGUCAAUUUACAAAGUUUUGUUUUGUAUUCAAAAUUCGUCCAAAAUCAAUCCCCCUUUAGUUUCAAGUGUCAAAUUAGUUAGAAAUCCAUUUAGUUUGUGUUUUUAGGUGUCUUGAGUCAAGUUAAAUCAAUUUUCGUCCAAAUUCUUCCCUAGUGUCCAAAACUGCCCAGAAAGUGGUUUUAAGGCAGUUUUGAGUGUUUAAUUGCUGUUUUGAGUCUUUUGGUUUGUUUUAGUGUUUUAAAGUUUAGUUUUACAUUCUUUUAGUCUAGUUAGUGUUUUAAACUUGUUUUUUUACGUUUUUGAGUCAAUUCCAAGUGAUUUUGCAAUCCCUCCUAAUCCCCGGCCUUGAAAGAUCCCUACUUACAUACUUGCUACAAUUGAUAAAAAAGAGGGUUUAAUUUGAGUGCUAGUUAAUUUUCACAUCACACCGGAUUGGAGCCUACCUUUCGAGCUUAUGUGCGAUGCAUCUGAUUACGCGUUAGGGGCUGUUUUGGGACAAAGGAAGGACAAGAAGCCGCAUGUCAUCUACUACGCCUCACGGACGUUGAACGAUGCACAAUUGAACUACUCCACUACGGAAAAAGAACUCCUUGCCGUUGUCUUUGCUUUAGAUAAAUUUCGAUCAUAUCUAAUUGGUACUAAAGUAAUUGUUUUCACUGAUCAUGCAGCUCUGAAGUACUUGCUCACGAAAAAGGAGGCCAAGCCACGGCUAAUUCGAUGGAUGUUGCUACUUCAAGAGUUCGACAUAGAGAUUCGGGACAAGAAGGGAAGUGAAAACGUGGUGGCUGACCACCUAAGCCGAAUGGUGCAUAAUGAGGAGUCUUUGCCGAUUUUGGAGACAUUCCCCGAUGAACAAUUGCUGUCCAUUAAGGUUAGUGCACCUUGGUAUGCCGACAUUGUUAAUUUUUUGGUGUCAAAACGUAUUCCAAGUGAGUUCACUAGGCACCAACGUGAUAAACUUAGGCAUGAUGCACGGUUUUAUGUGUGGGAUGAUCCGUACUUAUGGAAAUUUUGCCCCGAUCAGAUUAUACGUCGUUGUGUGCACGAUUCUGAAUGUCAUUCAAUUUUGAGUUUUUGUCACACAUAUGCAUGUGGAGGGCACUUUGGCACACAAUGCACAGCCCUCAAAGUGUUACAAUGUGGAUUCUAUUGGCCUAGUAUUUUUAAAGAUGCUAAAACUUUCUGCUUAACAUGUGAUAAAUGCCAACAAAUGGGUGGAAUUAGUGCAAGGGACCAAAUGCCGCAGGUUUCUAUCCUAAAUGUUGAAAUUUUUUAUGUUUGGGGUAUUGAUUUUAUGGGUCCCUUCCCUUCCUCGUAUGGUUUCAUGUAUAUUUUGCUUGCGGUUGAUUAUGUGUCGAAAUGGGUGGAAGCCAAGGCCACCCGGACUAAUGAUUCUAAAGUGGUUGCAGAUUUUAUUAGAACUAACAUUUUUGCAAGGUUCGGAAUGCCACGGGUGAUCAUUAGUGAUGGAGGGUCACACUUUUGCAAUCGGACCAUUGAAGCGUUAUUGAGGAAAUACAGUGUCACCCAUAAGGUUUCUACACCUUACCAUCCUCAAACGAAUGGCCAAGCCGAGGUUUCCAACCGAGAGAUCAAGCAAAUACUUGAGAAGACCGUUGGGCCAACACGGAAGGAUUGGAGCUUACGGUUAGAUGAUGCACUUUGGGCGUAUCGUACGGCGUACAAAACCCCCAUUGGGAUGUCCCCCUUCCGACUUGUCUAUGGCAAGGCGUGCCAUCUUCCCGUUGAAUUGGAGCACAAAGCACUUUGGGCCAUCAAGAAGUUUAACAUGAACCUCGAUGAAGCGGGAAGUCAAAGGAGAUUGCAAUUGAAUGAGCUUGAUGAGAUACGGCACGAGGCAUACGAUAAUGCAAGCAUUUACAAGCAAGACCAAAGCUUUCCAUGACAACAUGAUCCGUGGGAAAUCAUUCUCAAUUGGGCAGAAAAUGCUAUUGUUCAAUUCCCGUUUACGUUUGUUUCCCGGUAAGUUACGUUCUAAGUGGAUUGGACCGUUUGUUAUUACUAAUGUUUUUGUUCAUGGUGCAGUCCAAAUCCAAAGCUUGAAAACAGGACAAGAAUUCAAGGUGAACGGGCAUCGUCUGAAGCCCUAUUAUGACACCUUUGUGGAGCAUACCGUGGAUGACUUACCCUUGGAUGUCGUGGGCCCUAGUAAGGAGUGAAUGAGGUCUUCGUCCGGCUGUACGACGUUAAAGCAAGCGCUACUUGGGAGGCAACCCAUGCAUUCAACAAAGGAGGACAUAGAGAGCACUCUAAUUCCAGAUUUGCGUUCCUAAACUCUUCUCUUUGUUGUUAAUUUCGUUUCUGCUAUGUUAGGUUGUUUAGAUGUUGUUUUGUUUGUUGUUUGUUAUUUGUGUGAGUUUAUGCUUGAAACAUUGAGGACAAUGUUUGAUUUAAGUGUGGGGGGGGUAACCAAAGUGUUUUGAUGCAAAUUCGUAGGGUUUUGUCACCCAUAAUUUCAAAUGUUGUUUCUUGCUGUUUUUAAGCCUUUUUAACCUGUUUUGGUGUGUUUUAAUGUGUUUUGAGUCAAAAAUCCGAAAAUCCCAUAAAAAUUUGAAAAAUUUGUUCUAAAAACCCAAAAAGAGUCGUUUUGUGUGUUUGUUUGUGUCUUAGGGUACCUUCCAACACAAUGAUGAGGAUUCGGUUUGUAAUUGCAUGACGGUUAAAGAGAGUUAUAAACAUGGAUAAAAGUUUGAUUUACUCUUUGGUUUAUGCUUGGUUGUGGUUAUAACUUAUGAAUUCACAUGUAAUCAUAAAGAAAAAAUCCGUUUUUGUAACAUGCUUGAAGGAAGUAACUCAACCUAACGCUACAACCUUGUGAGACUUGAGCCUAAACGUUUAUUUAGAGAGUUAAAAUCUGUGCAUUCUUUGUUUUCUAAAGUCGUUGCAUGAUCUCAUUAUUCUUUGCUUGGUUGCUACUUAGAAGGCGUUUCAUCACUUAGAACCAAACACUAGAACUCAUGCCCAUUUCAUUCAAAACAUGUCAUUGAUUUGCAUAACACAUAUUCAAGAUUAAGUUGUGUAGUGUCCACCAUAGCCCAAAAGCCGUAUAUCCCUAUUCCAUUAUGUUUUGUAGGUGUUAACCCCGUUGAGCCUCGUUUAGCCUAUUUCCCUUGUUAACCAUAUUAUCCUCACCUAGCCUAGAUUAGGACCAUCCACACCCUUGUUCUUAAAACGUAGUAAAGCAUAACGCAAGAUGAAUUCCUUUUGAUCAAUGUGUGCGGGAAACAAGUGUGGGGGAAGGAUUAGUGAUAUAGGGAUGUGCCAAAGUCUUGAAUGAGGCACGGCAAAUAAGAGAAAAAAAUGAGAAAAGAAAGAAAAAAAGGAAAAAAUUGUGAAAAGUGUAAAAAAGAGUUGAAAGAGCAUGAAAAUGAGCUCUAAGGUGUUGGUUGUUGAAGAAAGGGUCCAAAACAUUGCAUUUGACCCUAAGUAUGCAUGCAUAUUCCCCUUGUGUUUAAAGUUGUUUUCUGCACUCUAAAGUGAAUUCUAAGUGUCAAUUUCAUUGCUUUGCUUACUAUUGUUUAAAGAACGUUUGUUUAUCCUUUCCCCUUCUUUGUUAUCCAAUACCCCAAGCCCCGUUACAACCUUUGACUUUAAUCUUGAGUGUUGUGUGUUUCAAUUUGUGGAGUUUGAAAUUGGUUUGAGCAUAUGGUGUCAUUGGUUUGAGCAUCUAAGUAGUAGCAUUCCAUUCAUGAGAUCAUAUUUAUAAACAUGUUAUUAACUCCGGAAAUUGCUCCCUUUGUCAUACAUAUAUGUGAGCGUUCGUUUUUAUUUUUACAUUAAUCUUCUCACAUAUAACUAGUAUAGGGUGUGUAGUUAGAAAUUCUGUGUGAAAAUUGAGUGCAUAUCUAGUAAGGAAUUGAGCAAAUUCUCUAAGGCAUGUUACUACAUUCAAACAUUGUUUUAAUUGGUUAAAUGUGAACUAGUAAGUAGUGACUACGAUUAAGUAUGUGCUUAAGUGUAAAGAUGGCUAAAAUCUGUGGGAAUGAUGAUUUUUAACAUAUCAUGUGCAUUGGAAAUCCCUGAGGCGAUUGUUGGAAGGUUUAGGUUGUGUUUUACUUGUUUUAUUUCGUUUUGUUCUUUUGUUUCGUUUUGUUUUGCUCGAGGACUAGCAAAAGCUAAGUGUGGGGGAAUUUGAUAGGAGCAUAUUUAUGCGCCUUAGUUUAGCUUGUUCUUGUACAUUUAUAGUGUUUUUGCUUAGUAAAGUAGUCUUUUAAGCUAGUUUUAUGUGUUUUCAGGUUCUAAGGGCAAAAUAUGAAAAAGGAUGCAUUUUGGAGCCUUUUGGAGCAAAGUUGAGCUUGGAAUGGAUGUCAUAUGCUUGGAGCCAAGAGGAUGGACGAAAUUGAAGAUUUGAAGAUGAUGUUUCCUACUUGAACAAGGUUUCCUAGUCGAAGUAGGAAAGCGCCUAAGUGAAGAUGGAAUCCUAGUUGAAUUAGGAUUCCUAGUCAAAAUGGGUUUCCUAGUUGAAUUAGGAUUCCUUGAAGAUGAAGAUUCCUACUCAAACAAGGUUUCCUACUCGAAGUAGGAAAGUUAAAUCCAAAUGGCAUCAAGUUUCAGCAACAAAGAAGAUUUCCAAGUCCAAGAAGGAAAGGUUUCCAAGAUGAAGUAGGAGAAGAAUUCCAAGUCAAGGGAGGAUUGAGACAUGUUUUCCUAAUGCUAGAAGGACUCCUAAGUGUUGUAGGACACAAAUGAGAAGUUUCUAGAAGAAUUCCCCUCCUUGCCGUGAGUUUCUACAUUUCCUAUCAGUUUUGGGGCUUUCUAGAAGCCCUAUCCCUAAUCCUUACAUUGGUGCCGCACCCUAGCUUCUAGAUGCCCUAGUUCCUUGCCUUGCAAGGCAUUCUAGAAGGCCUAUCCAUUUCCUACAAACCUGCCGCACCUAGGACCCCUUUUCCCUUGCAAAAUCUGAUUGUUUAGACCUAUUUCCUUGUGGAUUUGGGUUAUCCAAGUCCAUAUCUGAUUACCCUAGGGUUUUAAGUGCCUAUAUAUACUCCUAUUAACCCCUAAAUCAGAUCACCACUCACCACAAUUCACAAUUCACGCCAGAAAUCAUUCCUUGCUCUUUGCCGCACCCUUCCACCACCAUAUGCCAUAUUUUCUGCCCAAAAACAACCCUAGCCGCACCACCCAUCAACCCUAAACACCAUCACACAUCCUCCAUCCAUUCUACACCAUCCAUAACCCCAAAGAACCUGUCCAAAGUCCUUGCCGCACCAAGGAGGGGGAGAAGGAAGCUCGGAAGAUUCAUGCAAUUCAAGUUCGCGUCGCUGGAAUUUCUAGGUGUUUCUUUUCCUUUGAUUUCAAUGUUUAAAUUCAAUUCUCUUUGUUUUGUGCGUAUGAGGAACUAAACCCCCCCUUGGCUAGGGGGGAUUCGAAAUACAUGUUUAUGCUUGCGAUAUGAUUUGAUUACUUCUAAUUGCGUUUCAUAAGUUGUGAAUUCAAUUUACUUAUCUAUGUGAAUUACAUUGAUUUAUGUGUGUUGGUUGAGAGUGCACGCUUAAUUAUCAUGCAUAAAUUGAAUGCUAGGAUAUAAGGAAAUUUCACC